rnacentral:rRNA from 1 species
CCUACGGGAGGCAGCAGUGGGGAAUUUUCCGCAAUGGGCGAAAGCCUGACGGAGCAACGCCGCGUGAGGGAUGAAGGCCUCUGGGCUGUAAACCUCUUUUAUCAAGGAAGAAGAUCUGACGGUACUUGAUGAAUAAGCCACGGCUAAUUCCGUGCCAGCAGCCGCGGUAAUACGGGAGUGGCAAGCGUUAUCCGGAAUUAUUGGGCGUAAAGCGUCCGCAGGCGGUCUUGUAAGUCUGUCGUUAAAGCGUGGAGCUCAACUCCAUUUCGGCGGUGGAAACUACAAGACUAGAGUGUGGUAGGGGCAGAGGGAAUUCCCGGUGUAGCGGUGAAAUGCGUAGAUAUCGGGAAGAACACCAGUGGCGAAGGCGCUCUGCUGGGCCAUAACUGACGCUCAUGGACGAAAGCUAGGGGAGCGAAAGGGAUUAGAUACCCCUGUAGUCCUAGCCGUAAACGAUGAACACUAGGUGUCGGGGGAAUCGACCCCCUCGGUGUCGUAGCUAACGCGUUAAGUGUUCCGCCUGGGGAGUACGCACGCNGUGUGAACUACAAGAAGUAGACGGCGUGAGACGNGCCGACGGACGACGACGAGGGAGUAGG